AAGUCUGAUGGAGCAACGCCGCGUGAGUGAAGAAGGGUUUCGGCUCGUAAAGCUCCGUUGGUAGUGAAGAAAGAUAGAGGCAGUAACUGGCCUUUAUUUGACGGUAAUUACUUAGAAAGUCACGGCUAACUACGUGCCAGCAGCCGCGGUAAUACGUAGGUGGCAAGCGUUGUCCGGAUUUAUUGGGCGUAAAGCGAGUGCAGGCGGUUCAAUAAGUCUGAUGUGAAAGCCUUCGGCUCAACCGGAGAAUUGCAUCAGAAACUGUUGAACUUGAGUGCAGAAGAGGAGAGUGGAACUCCAUGUGUAGCGGUGGAAUGCGUAGAUAUAUGGAAGAACACCAGUGGCGAAGGCGGCUCUCUGGUCUGCAACUGACGCUGAGGCUCGAAAGCAUGGGUAGCGAACAGGAUUAGAUACCCUGGUAGUCCAUGCCGUAAACGAUGAGUGCUAAGUGUUGGGAGGUUUCCGCCUCUCAGUGCUGCAGCUAACGCAUUAAGCACUCCGCCUGGGGAGUACGACCGCAAGGUUGAAACUCAAAGGAAUUGACGGGGGCCCGCACAAGCGGUGGAACAUGUUGGUUAAUUCGAAGCAACGCGAAGAACCUUACCA
rnacentral:rRNA from 1 species